rnacentral:rRNA from 1 species
UACGUAUGGGGCAAGCGUUAUCCGGAAUUAUUGGGCGUAAAGAGCGCGCAGGUGGUUGAUUAAGUCUGAUGUGAAAGCCCACGGCUUAACCGUGGAGGGUCAUUGGAAACUGGUCGACUUGAGUGCAGAAGAGGGAAGUGGAAUUCCAUGUGUAGCGGUGAAAUGCGUAGAGAUAUGGAGGAACACCCGUGGCGAAGGCGGCUUCCUGGCCAUAUCCUGACGCUGAGGUGCGAAAGCCAGGGGAGCGAACGGGAUUAGAUACCCCU